rnacentral:tRNA from 1 species
UAAAAAUUAGUUAAAUUAUAAUAUUAUUUUGUCAAAAUAAAGUUAUUUUAAAAUAAAAUAUUUUUAU